AGAGUUUGAUCCUGGCUCAGGAUGAACGCUGGCGGCGUGCCUAACACAUGCAAGUCGAGCGAUUUACUUCGGUAAAGAGCGGCGGACGGGUGAGUAACGCGUGGGUAACCUGCCCUGUACACACGGAUAACAUACCGAAAGGUAUGCUAAUACGAGAUAAUAUGCUUUUAUCGCAUGGUAGAAGUAUCAAAGCUUUUGCGGUACAGGAUGGACCCGCGUCUGAUUAGCUAGUUGGUGAGGUAACGGCUCACCAAGGCUACGAUCAGUAGCCGACCUGAGAGGGUGAUCGGCCACAUUGGAACUGAGACACGGUCCAAACUCCUACGGGAGGCAGCAGUGGGGAAUAUUGCACAAUGGGCGAAAGCCUGAUGCAGCAACGCCGCGUGAGCGAUGAAGGCCUUCGGAUCGUAAAGCUCUGUCCUCAAGGAAGAUAAUGACGGUACUUGAGGAGGAAGCCCCGGCUAACUACGUGCCAGCAGCCGCGGU
rnacentral:rRNA from 1 species